CCCACAAGAACUCAGUCCAUCUUUCCUGAAUGUUCUGUCGAAACUAACUUAAUGAAGAGUCCUUCUCUCUUUCAUCUGGUUUCUCUCAAGUCCAAGGCCCUAGACUCCCCAUGAAGUCGUGGAGCUAUAUUCCAGCGGGCAUGACGCAGUGUGGAAGACUGAAUCCGGGGUCCUCAAGCAUGCCAAGAUACCGCUCUGCCAGCUGGGCUACACUCUCAGCCCGAUCCAGCCAGCCUUUCUUUUGAGCAAAGCCCCAGGGUACACCUGACAAGCUGAGGGUGUGUUUAGCAUUGGGUUUGUCCAGCCUCCCACAAUGGAUCCUGAAACCACCCUGAAGAUCCACUGGGACCUCCCGGAACACAGCGGAACGGAACGUCGCCUGCUCGUCGCCUGCUCUGUGUGAGAAGGGCAAUUGCUGGCCCUUCUCAUUUUAACUAUCCUGGCGGGGCACCACGGUGUCUCGCUGCCAUUUCCGUUACGGCUCCCUUAAGACCUGAAAGAUGAGCCUUUUCAAAUACUCGUGUGCCACUGCUGUAGCCCCUUGAGAGGUCUCUAGUGAGGUCUGUUGGACCAGUUUUUAAUUAAAUCAUCUUUGGCUUUCUUGUCA